rnacentral:lncRNA from 1 species
AGAAGGGAAUUCUGGCAGAACCACUUCUGGACCUGUCCCUCUGCACCCCCCAUUCCUGCGCCCUCAUUUAACCUCCCUGACUCUGACCUGGGCUUGGUCUAUCUUGGGGCCUGGCUGCCGUCCUGGGACGGGAAGGGGAGCAGAUCAGAACUCAGCCUGCGGCUCCAGGCCGCUGGGCGCUGGCUGGGCCUCACGUUCUCCUGGAAGGACCACCUCCCUUGCCCUCCACGGGGUCUGCCUUUGCUCCCAAGGCUCCGCCCUGGACGGAGCGUCCUUCUUGCCUGGGCGUCUUCAGACCUUCAUCUGUGACACCGGGGGCCAUGUGGCUCACCCCGAGGAAGAGACGAGGACUCGCUGUGUUGGCUGUUCUUGAGCUUCUGGGCUCAAGCAAUCCUCCCUCCUGAGCUUCCCAGAGUGCUAGGAUUACAGGUGUGAGCCACUGAGCCCAGCCCAUUUUCUUUUUUUUUUUUUUCCUGGCUUCCUUUCCUCCCUGUCUCCCUGGCCUACCCUUCCUCUUCCCUCAGCUGUUCCUUCCCUUUCUCUCCAGUGAAGACUAAGGGCCAAGCAUGAGCCUUUCUUCCUGCUCUUUUACCCUUGAGGCAGCAGGAGAGGAUAUUCACCUCCUGACAUGACAGAUUCUGACGCUAUCUGCUCCUCUGUGACUUUGGGAAGCGGGGUAUGUGCUGCUCCUGGGCUGAUGGGGGAAAGUGCCUCUCCCAGCAAUGCUGGUGCCACUUGGUGUGCUACGGCCCCCCAGGGCAGUGCGGAGCCAUCUGGGACAGUUAGACAAUGAGAGACGUGAAGCCAUUUCAAGGUGCUUCCUUGAAAAUGCUCCAGAAAAACAGCAGAGGCGGCCUCUCUGGGGAUCCGGUCCAGCCCUUGAAAAGAAUCUGUUUGUUUCACCACUGAACUCAAAUAAGCCAACAGAUUGAAGGAAGGGAGUUUCCACGCGCCCCUCCCCACCAAGCAGUUACCUGAGUUCCAGAGUCCAGUCCGAUGGAUCCCAUUUUACCCUGGUUUAAAUUGUUUCCUUAGAAAAAAAUAAACAGAACCUCUUCUCUCACUCUCCAGUGGAAAGUAUAGAAUCAAACGUAAAUGAAAAUGACAGUUUCUAACAUGCGCGACCUGGACACGCGGCUGAACUCCGAGCCUCAGCUGCAGAGUGGGGUCAAUGCACCUACCUUGCAGCGUCACUGUGAGGAUCCACACAACAGAAAUAAACUGCUUAGUGUGUAGUAGGAGCCUCAAAAAUGAUGAUUCAAAAGCACCAGCCUGUCACAUUCAUCCCCUGCUCAAAAACUCUCCCUGCCUUUCCUAGCGCCUAAUGGACAGAUAUUAGUUCAGAAACACUUUAUAACUAAGUGGCCAUAGAGGCAGGCCUGAAGCCUAUUUUCAUUUUCUGUUUCAGUUUCUGAAUCUGUUCUUAUUUAGUCUUCCCUUAAAGGCUAUCUGGCGCCUCCGUGAUGCUUAAUCAGGACAAGCUUGCAGAUGGGUACAGGUUGCAGGCCCUUGCCUCUCUUCCCUUAACCCCACAGCAGCCAGUAAACCACCUGGACACAGAAAGAGACCCACAUAUUCUCUAAAAUGCCUGAAUGGAACAAUCUAGAAUCUAAGCAUUCCUUAUAGGAACAGAGACUACUGUAAGAUGCGGGAUAGUAAGAAGGCAGCCUAGACUCUUCAAAAGGACAAUGUUUUAAAAAAAAUGAAGUGGAGGGAUGAUUCAAGAUUAAAAGAGAGUGAAGAAAUGAGGCCAACCAGAUGCAGUGUACAGACUUGGGCCACAGUGGGGGAGGUGACAGCAGACGGUUUGGUGGGAAGGAACGCACCAGAGCCCCAUGGGCCUGCCUGGCCAGCUCGCUUGGUCAUCCUGGUAAAACAGCAGAGCUCUCUGUUCCAAGAGGCCCACGCGCAGCCCCACAUGCCUGCUGAUCUGUGUACACACGUGUGUGCACUCUAGCAAGCCUCACUUUAAUUGUGAAGAAACAUGGGAACCGGUGCUCCCACCCGGGCUGUGGGAGUGUGGUGCGGUGGGGCCUGGACACGGGGAGGGUCCGAAGUGGGGCCAGCUCCCUGGAGUCAGGCAUGUCUGUCUCAAGCUGCCCCUGUCCCUUGCUGAAUGGGAACCCCCACCAGCUGCCUCGGGAGCCCGUGUCCUUACACUCUAUUCGGAUCUGCUCCAGCUCCGUCACCUCAGCAAUGGACUCCUUCAGGUCCUCCACGAACUUCUGCAUCUCGUCCGAGCCCAGGGCACAGAAAUGCAGCACCUGCUUCUUCUCGGAGCCCGAGAGCGGGGUCACCAGUGUGAUGCCAUGAGAGUAAUCUGGAAAGCAGACCCCAGGCCCCCAGUGGGCUGUGAGCAGCAGCAGCCGAGGGCCAGAGCCAGCCAGACAUGAGGAGGGCACGGGGUCUCAUGCCUCCACCCACUCUGCUGUCCAGCCCUUCUCCCUCAACUCGCCCCAGCCAUUUCAUCCAUUCAUUCCUUCUCAAAGACUUACACUGGCUGUCAAAGACUUACACUCGUUCUCAAAGAGCUGGAACUGCAUGCCCAGCAGGCCAACUGACUUGCAAAAGGUGUACGUGGAGGAGCUCUUCUUCUUCGGGCAAAGUUUGAGAAUCUGUUCAGGAGAGGGAAACAGGCAUGCCCUGAUGAACAGACACUCACGGACACAUGGAUGCACAAACACCCGGGGGAUGCACGAUCACACAAACCCACGCAGUGAUGAAUGUGCACAUACAGCUUCUGUGAGCUGAGCCCUGGAGAUACAGGAGAACUCAGGACAGAGCCCCUGCCCUUAAGGUGCUUAUGGAAUGUGGAGUGUCACAGUGUCCAUCAGGUGAUCAAACAAUAAAGCAUAACAGCAAAAAAACAAAACCAAAGUGCUACGUGUUUUGAAGAAAAUGAAACAGGGUAAGGAAUCAAAAGUGAUUUGAGACUUGAAUGAAAAGGAGGAGGCCAGGAAGGCAAGAGGAGAGUGCAAGGUCUGGAGGAGCUUUGCAAGAAGGAGCAGCAAGUACAAAGGCCUGGCCCACAGGAGGGAGGCGCCUCCCAGGGCUGAGGAGAGGGCGGGGAGGCAGGUUAGGGAAAGGGGACACGUGGCCUGAUGUGCACUCCAGAGAGAUCACGCUGCUGCUCUCAGGGGGGUGGGGAGAGCCGUGUGGAGGCUGAUGUGGUUCACUGAAUGUACCAGGCGUGCACUAAGACUGUAGUAGUGGAGGUGGUGAGAGGUGGUUCAGGCUUGUGAUCACUUUGGAGGCAGUGCCAACGUGGCUCAUGGAUAGAGAGGGCCGGUGCGAGGGAGACACAAGCCCUGCUCCAGUCCUGCUCACCAGUUUUCCAGACCUACAAUGAUGCCUGGCACAUGGUCAACGCUGAUCAAAUAUUUGUUGAAUGGAUACUUCUUUUCAAAGAGCAAAAAAAGUAUCUGUGGGUACAGAUGUGUGUAUGUGUGUGCACGCACACACACACACCAGCCUCGCCUAGGCCCAGGGACAGAGCAUGCUCCGCCUAGGCCCUGCUCCUCCCAGGCCCUGGGGUCUGAGGCACAGCCCUGUGCACUCCCUGUCCUGGGCUUCCUGUAACGUGGAGAGGCCAGUGGUCUGGGAACUAGUUCGUUAACAGUUUGUGCAACCACGAGCAGAUCAUCUGACGUCUCGGUGUCAUGACUUAUGAGGGACCCUGCCCAGGCUGACCAGGGCGGCAGAGGCAGCCCCAGCCCAGCCCAGUCCCGGAGCGGAGGCCACUCACCACCAGCAGGUCAUUGAAGAGGAACACCUCCCUCUGAUGCGCUGCCUGCUUCUGCAGCUUGUUCACAUCCGUCACCUCGAAGAGCCGGCUGCAGCACACCAGGCGGCGGUGGGGCACGGACAGCACCUGCACGCGGGCAGGGCGCUCAGCGGGAGAGACCAGAGGCCUGGAGGCCUCCCCACCCACGCGCCCAUUUUCCAGAAGAGGAGACAGCCCGGGAGAGGGGAGGGGCCCGGUUCUGUGGAGGGAGGAGAGGGGAGGGGUCCGGUUCUGUGGAGGGAGGAGAGGGGAGGGGUCCGGUUCUGUGGAGGGAGGGGAGGGGAGGGGUCCGGUUCUGUGGAGGGAGGGGAGGGGAGGGGUCCGGUUCUGUGGAGGGAGGGGAGGGGAGGGGUCCGGUUCUGUGGAGGGGGAGGGGAGGGCUCCGGUUCUGUGGAGGGAGGAGAGGGGAGGGGUUCGGUUUUGUGGAGAGGGAGGGGAGGGGCUCCGGUUCUGUCCUGGGGCCUGGACUUGACUCUCAUCCUUCUCUCUCCUCGUCUGAGGCUCUUUCCCUCGCACGUUCACCCCCUGUCCCAGGGCUCAUCCCUGUCAUGCUUCUUGGGGAGCACGGCCAGAGAAGGGGCCCACUGAGCCACAGUAAAUGAGGGGAUAGAGGGACAGGAAUAGGAAAUUGAGAAGAGCUUGCAGGCUGUUCCAGUCCAGCCACUGUCAACCUGCUUCCCUCCGUAACCUUGAGGGCAUCCCCUGCCCCAGGCUGCGGCCUGCAGAUAUGACACCUCCACCCUUUCUAUACUGCAGAGAUGCAGGUGUGCGAGAGCGAAGGGAUCACAGAGACACCUGGCAUCUACUCCAGCGUGUAAGACAAACCAGUCGCUUGCAACCCGACAGAUGCUGAGACCUCAGCAAUAAAGGCUCUCAAAGCAGAAAAGCCUGUCCCUGCACAGACUGGGAGGAGGGAGCCCAGUGCAGGGCCUCAGAAGAGAUCUCCAAACUCUCCCACACCGUCCCCUGAGGCAAGAAUAUGAGGAGGAGGAACUGGAACCCCCAUGACAUCCUUUAUAGUAUAAAGUGUAGUAGCCUACAGAGAAGUCCCACUUUAAAAAUCAUGGCAGGCUUGGAACAUGCUGCCUGGGACACAGGUCACUACCAAUAGGACAAAUCUAUGGUGAUGCCACAGCCUGGAGCCUAUUGAGCCCAUUUCCUGCCUUCCACUCAUCAGGACCAUCCAGGAAUGCCUGGUAGUCAUGCUGUCCUAGGAAAGGGAUACUAAAUCUCAUCUGGCCACCCAGAUGCUUCCACCCUAGACCACUGGGCAGUCCUUCCUGACAUCUCAUCUCCGUCUCUCCUGCUGCAGUAUCGGGUGGCAAGAGGCAAUGAGGAAAUCAGGCAAGAAAAAAAAAAAGAGAUGCAGUGUCUGGCACACAGUAGGUACUUCAUAACUAUCAUGUGAAUGAAUAUGAAAAAAGAGUUUUGGAAAGGUAAGAAGGAGAAUGGGAAGAGAUGCCAGGAAGAAAGAAAGGAAAGGAGACGGGAGAUAGGUAGCUUGUGGACACUCACUGUCUUCAUGCCCACAAUGGACUUCUCCACCUUGGUGACGUACGUGACGUGGUCCUCAUUGGACUUGAGCUCCUUCUGCUGUAUCCUCUCAUAGAUGCCUACCACCAGCUCCCUGGGGAUGUCAGCGCCAUCGUCCACACCUAACAACGUGGAGUGGGCAGGGGUGGUGGUGGGGUUGGGAGGGAGGGUGUCAGAGCCCUGGAGCCAGACAGAAGAGACCCCCAUCCAGCCUGGAGCUCCCGGGGGGUGGCCUUGGUUCUUGCCAUGCCUUCAAUGGCUGGUGCCUCAUACCCAUUCAAUUAAGAACAAGUUCCUUAGCCAGGCACCAAAACUAAUGAUAUGGCCCCAACACACAUCUCCUGCCUCACCUCCUGAUGUUCCCCAACCAGAGUCUUCACGCCCACCUCCCAGGCCUCUUUCCUGAUGGCAGAUACAGCCUCCAUGUUCCUGCUAACCCUGUGCGCCUCUGCAGUUCUGUCGUCUUCCUUGUGUUCGUCUCACCCCCCAGCUCCACCCCACCACUCCAGCAUCAUAAGGAGCUUCUGUUUCGUUCUCUUUUGGAUCUUCCUCCUGCUGGGCUCUCCUCUCCCCUCCAGUAGGGAGCAUGGCAUUGAGGGCUUAGUCUUUGAAGAGAUUCCUCCCUCACUGGGAGCAGUGGGGGAGCAGGCAGACCCCUGGCAAUGCAGGCGAGGACACCCCUGUCCCACCUCCUGCUUCAUAGUAAUGAUAAAACUCGGGCAACAAAAAAACACUGGCAGGAAAUAUGCCAACAAGAAAACACGUUUCUUUUGGAGAAACAGGCGAUUAAAAUAUCUUCUUUCUACUAUUUCCAAAUCUUUCUUUAAUGACUAUACGCUUCUUUUAUAAGAGGGAAAAAUUAAAAAUAAAACAACUUUGGCAAGCAUCUCUCAAAGGAGUGUUCCCAGCUACUGAAAGGACACCCCGCCUUCCACACGCAGCUCCCGGCCUGCUCUGGUCUCUUCCACGUCUGAUCUUGGUUCUCGAAGUCAGGCAAAUGAGCCAUGCAGCAGCCAAGGAGGCUGAAAGAAAUCAGGCGGCGGGUGAGAAAAACCAAGGAGAAAGGCUGAGUGUAUGGAUGCCCCCAGUUCAAGGUGGCAGGCUGCAUGCCUCUGCUGCUUCUGAAUACUCGGGAGAAAGGAAUCUUUUAGAAAAGCAUACACCCACAAAGACAGAGAACAGGGGCACAGGCACCCCAGGACCUGGCAAGUGGAUAAAUAAGUGGAUGGAUUUAGCAAACCUGAGAAAGCUGAACCCAGACCAGCAGAGAGGUUAGAAGCCACUCAAACACCACACAGCCACCAAAGGGCUUAGAGCUGGUGGUAACAGCAGCCCCUAAAAGCGAAGGUGAAGGUGGGCUGGGAAUUGGAAAACAGGUUGAAAACGGGUUAGAAAGCUGCUGGGCUUCCCUAUCCCCUCCUCACUCCAGCAGAAGACUGGGGGUCCAUUCUCUGGAACUCUGAGAUGAGGGACCCCACACCCAGCCAAGCCGGGACUCUGCUGAAUACUGGGGGAUGAAGUUGAUAACCUAUAUAUUAACCCUCAACUCCACUUCCCACUUAAAGAUCUCAGAACUCUGGCAGCCAGAAUCAUACAUUCUGGGCAACAGAUUGAACAUUUAUCUUCUGGGUAUCAGGCAGAACAAGAAAAAAAUAUCUCCAGAUACUGCAGUAGGGUCUCCCGGUGAAAUGCCUUAAGUAAAUCACCCUACAAGAAAGCUCACCAGCCAGCAGCCUCCACCUGUGUUCACAGAGUCAUUCAUCCGCUUUCUGGUGGCUCACUCUUAAAUAUGAAUGAACAACCAGAUUUCAUCAACUGCAUUUGGAAAGUCUAUACCAGGAAAGAGAAAGAAAUAUGGGGGAAAAAAAAAACAGAAAAAAGGACUCCAGAAGAAAUAGAGGCAAACAGAGAGAAAAACAAACAAACAAACCAAUAUUAACAUCUUCACCGAGAUGGGAGAAGAUAUUGCAUCUACAAAGCAAGAAUAAAAUGCUAUAAAAGAGGAACAUUGAGAGGACAAAAGAGAGCUAUUGAGAAUGAAAAAUAUGACAGCAGGAAUGAAAAACUUGGUAGGAGACACAAAAGACGGCACUGAGGGACACUUUCCAGAAAGUCAAGGAAGUAAACAAAGAUGGCAGGUAGAAAACUAUAAAAGUUACGAGGAUCAGACUAGGAGAUCCACCAACAGAAUAGCAGGAGUUCAAGAAAGAGAGUCCAGAGAAAUUGGAGGGCAGAAAUGAUCAAAUACAACAUUUAAGAAAACUUCCCAUGACCGGAGGACAUGAGUUUCUAGAUGGAAAGGACCAGUCCAGCCCUGGGCAUGAUGGAUGGAAGAAGAACUGUAGCAAGAUGCAUCAUCGUGAACAUCCAGAACACGAAGGCAGACAGAAGACCCUGCAAGCUUUCAGAGAGAGAGAAAGAGUAACAGACAAAAGGCCAGCAGCUGGGAUGGCAGAGCAGCACUGGCAGCUAAAGGACAAUGCAGCAGCAAUGCCUUUGAAAUCCUGAUUGGCGUGUUUUGAGGCUGGAAUUCUAUCCCCAGCCAAACUCCCAACCAAGGGCAAAGACAGAAAAAGAUACAUUCAGAAAUGCAAGUUCUCAAAAAUGGCCUUUUCUCUGAAAGUAAACUAAAAAUGAGGAAGCUCUGACAUGCAGGAACCAGGAAUCUGUCAUGAGAGCAAGGGAAGGAGGGCCCAGGAUGCAGGCUGUGCCCUGGCCCAGCCACUGUCCAGACUGGAGCAGGACCAGAGGCUCCCGGAAGAUGACUCUCCCGCACCACCUCCCAGGUCUGGACAUAUGGAGAGGAGCUUGAUACGUAGGGUGGGAAGUGGGGGCUGAAUCAGGGGAGGUCCUCAGAGAGUUAAGCAAAUGGAAAGAGAAGCAUUAACUCCAAGGAAAGUAUAGAUGAAGGGAGUUGCAAUCAUUCUGCACUUGCAGACUCAGCUUUGGAGUGUGUGUGCAGAGCCCUAAUAACAUGAGCACUGACGUGAGUGGGAUGGGUCAGGGAAGGUGGAUGAAAGAGGGCUAAAUCCUUACAUUCUAUAAUGGGGAAUUAAUAGAUCAUGCUUAAAAUAAAAAUAAUUAACAAGGGCCAGGCGUGGUGGCUCAUGCCUGUAAUCCCAGCACUUUGGGAGGCUGAGGCAGGCGGAUCACCUGAGGUUGGGAGUUCAAAACCAGUCUGUUCAACAUGGUGAAACCUCAUCUGUUCUAAAAAUAUAAAAAUUAGCUGGGUGUGGUGGUGCACACCUGUAAUCCCGGCUACUUGGGAGGCUGAGCCAUAAGAAUUACUUGAACCUGGGAGGUGGAGGUUGCAGUGAGCUGAGACUGCACCACUGCACUCCAGCCUGGGCAACAGAAAUAAUAAUUAACAAGGAGCAGUGUAUAAAAGAGACCAGAUACCAAAGUAUAAAUACUGUAUAGCUCUAUUUAGAUGAAGUUCAAGGACUGGCAGGACUCGUCAAAUGGUGAUAAAAGGCAGAAUAGUUGUUACUCUUGGGCGAAGGCAUUGACUGGGACGGGACAGGAGAGAACAUUCUGGGCAGGUGAAAAUGAUCCAGAUCAGGAUCCAGGUGUGAUGACACAGUGCACGUGACCGUACACAUUCAUCAAACUUCAGGCUUACACACUCACAGUCUGGACUUUAUGCCAGUUAAAAAAAGAGAUAGAAAAAAGCGAAGCAGAAGCCUGCGGUUUAUCGAUACAGAAGAAACGCAAAUAGCUAAAAAAGUCAAAAGUGGUUGCCUCUGGAGAAGGUGAGUGGUGAGAGGGGCAGCGACUAAUUUUUUUCUAUGAUAAGCCUUGUAGGAUUAUUUGACUUUAUUAAAUUAUGUGGAUGUAUAACUUUGAUUCUUUUAACGGGUAAAAAAAAAAAAACAAUUGCGCACACAUCACACUCUGCCAGUCCUGGUUUGCUCCCUGCCAGGCAGUGCGCUGCAUCGAUGAGAGAAGGACUUGCCAGCUGGUGCCAUACAGUUAUCUGCAAGGCUGACUUAAAUGGACCCAGGGCCCUGCUCCUGGCUCCUUCCUUGUAAGUUGUGGAGGGGAAGGGCUGGCACCACUUGAGCCGCCAGCUCUGGUGUCAGGGGCCUAGAGGCCAACCAUGUUCCACGGAGGGCAAGAGGCACUGCCCAAGGGCGCUUGCUGUUUGGUAGAGCGGUGGCGGUGGCAGGCUGCAUGCCGGAAACUCCCCAGCCGCCUGGCUCACAAGGAAUGUUCCCAGCUUGCUAUGGGUGACCAGGCCCAGACAGCAGGUGACCAUCUGUGAUAGGGGCUCAGACUCACAGAAUGCACGGUGCACAGAAUGGGGCCUGAGCCGUGGCCUUGCCCCUCCUGCCCCAGUGCCCACCUCCUCACCUCGAAGGCGAGGAUGAAGAUGGUGUCGG